GAGAGGCCUACAGCUUGCCCAGGCUCACACAGCUCGCAGUGACAAGGGCAGGGUCCAGGCCCUGCUUUACACCAGGUAGCCUGUCCUGCGGGCUGGGGGCCCUGCGGGUCUCUGGCCCCAUCGUGGCUGUGCUUGCCCUCAGAGCCCAUGAGGUCAGAAGUGUCGGGGGUGGCAGAGGGCUGCAGCUAAAUUAGCAGUUAAAGUUGAGCAGAGGGGGCACAGGUGAGGGGACUGGAACCUGAUCUUUAGAUCUGAUUUACAGCCCAGGAAACUAAGUCCACUGAUUGUUCAGUGUGAUCACCUUAAAAUUCCCCUGGAGUAAGUAGGAUCCUGCAUUCUGGUCGGCUCCUCCCCAGGCAACAGGCACAGCUAUAUUUAGCGCCAUCCAUCCGGAGCUGCUGUGGUGGCCGGGCAGCGUGUGGCUCCAGGAGUGGCUGCCACGCACCCUGGUGGUGGAGAGGGACUGGCGCUCAGGCUGGGUCCGCUGAGCUCAAGGGGGAAGCAGCCGUGUGCAGAGCACGGACGCUGCUCCGGCCACAGAGGCAGGCAGACUCCUCAUGGAGGCCGGCCGCUCCCCCUGAGAGAAACCAGAACCUGCGGUUUCCCUCCCACAGCUCCAAGCCCUACUGACUCUGCCCUCUUAAUAGCUUCCUGAGGCCUCCUUGGCUUCCUCGCUGCAGUUUGUAUCCCUCACAUUUUUUUCACCUGGAUGAGCAACAGCCUCCUAAAUGCUGUGUUCUGUUCUUUAAUUAGUUCCCUUCGCUGUCACCAAAAAUAGCUCCAUAAGGCAGAAAGCCAUUAUGUCACUCCCCUACCAGACCUGUCUCGGCAGCUGUCACGCUGAGGAGCACUCUGACGUCCAGCCCCAGCUGCUCUUGCCCGGCUGCACCAGGUGCUCCGGGCCGCCUCCUUCUGCACCCUCGCCUGCCCUGUGGGGACCCUGACACCUCCACUCAGGCUACACCUCAGUGCACCAGGCCGAACUCUGAGCCAAGGCCCUGGAGGGAGACAGCACAUCCUCGCUCAGCUCACUGCAGCACUGUGCAGACGCCUGCAGCACGGGUCCUUCACCCGUCCAUUCUGUCAGAAUUUUUCAAGCAUCUGCCAUAUGUGAGAAGAUGCUGGGGAGUGUUCUGGGAAUGUGUGGUGAACAAGACACGAAGCCCUGACUUCCGUGGCACUUCCAUUCUUACAAGCCCAUCCAGGGUUUCAAGUCACUGAGCCCUUCCCGGGGCCCAAGACGGGGUGAAGAGCAUUAACUGACUCUGCGCCCCUGCUGAGGGGGCAGAUGCAAACAGCGACCCACAAGGGAGCUCCUUGGCUUGCAUCCUGGAGGACGGGAGGACGGCGGGUGGCCAGGACCAGCCACGGGCGCCCCGGCCUGGCACCCACUCUGUGCCGCCAUAUGGGGCUGUGAAACCGGGAAGCCGUGUGGGGUGGAAGGGGCCCUCGCCUUCCAGGCUUCCCAAGGACGAGGAUGAAGACAGGGCCCGCUGCCCGCUGGCUGGGAGCAGUAGGUGCCGGGCGGAAAGGCCAGGACAGAGGACAGCGGCGCUGGAUUCGGAGUCAGCAGCAGUCCGGGCCACACGAGAAGGGAGCAGAUGUGGAGCAGAAUGGAGAAUUCAUUUGGCUUGAUUGGUUGCGUGGAGG
rnacentral:lncRNA from 1 species